ensembl:lncRNA
GGGCGGGGCCGCAGGGCUGGCGAGGGCGUCGCUAGGUAGGGGCAGGUGGUGCGGUCCAGGCUGGGCCUCCCGCCCGUGUCCCCGCCGACGGGUUGCGGCCGAGGGCGGCGCUGGGCUUUGCGGGUGUCCAGAGUGUGGUCCUGGUGGGGGCGUGUCAGCGCCGCGUGCUCUCGCGUCCGAUUCACUUCGCAGCUUCGACUCAGGGCCAGUCUUAUCAGAGCCGUCAGGAGCUUUCUGGAUCCCUGGAGCUGAGCGCCUUGUUCCACUUGGACAAACCACGGUGGCUUUUUUAUCCCUCGAGUGGCACGAGACAUACGGGACAGACCGAGGGGAGCAGAGCUUCGUCCUUUGUUAUUCCGGACUGGAAGACCUCCUCCCAGGACUCAAACCUCUACACAAGGGUAAGUCAGAAUUGGGAAGAGAAUCGAACGAUUCUGAACAUGGGACAGUAUAUCCAGACGCGGCAGAUGCUACAAGGAAAUGCCCCAACCGUAAUGUCUUUCCAGAAGUAUUGUAAAACCUUCCCCCUUUUAAUAAAAAGUUUUAAUGUUUAUUUAUUUGAGAGAGAGACAGCAGGUGAGGGGCAGAGAUGGAGAGAGAGAGAAUCCUAAGCAGGCUCCACACUGUCAGCACAGAGCCCUUCGUGGGG